rnacentral:rRNA from 1 species
ACAAACAAGAGUUUGAUCCUGGCUCAGAAUGAACGCUAGCGAUAGGCUUAACACAUGCAAGUCGAACGCAUACUCUAAAGUAUGAGUGGCAGACGGGUGAGUAACGCGUGAGACAUCUACCUUACAGCCCGGUAUAAAUAUGUUAUCAAAAUAAGAAAGAAUUAUAUACAUUUUUUUUAUUUUGAACACAAUGAAUUCCGGAUAUAUAAAAGAAAGGCAAAGAACCGUUGUAAGAUGAGCUCGCGUAGGAUUAGGUAGUUGGUAAGGUAAAAGCUUAUCCAAGCCGAUGAUCCUUAGUUGGUCUGAGAGGAUGAUCAGCCACACUGGGACUGAGACACGGCCCAGACGCUUUCGAGCGGCAGCAGUGAGGAAUUUUGGACAAUGGGCGAAAGCCUGAUCCAGCUAUAUCGCAUGAAUGAAGAAGGCUCAAUUGGUUGUAAAAUUCAUAUUUUCGUUUAAGAUUAUGACAUUGAUGAAAUGAACAGUCCCGGCCAACUCCGUGCCAGCAGCCGCGGUAAUACGGGGGGGGCGAGCGUUAUUCGAAAUGAUUGGGCGUAAAGGGCACGUAGACGGUUUUUUGAGUAUACAUCUAUUAUACUUUACUUUGUUUAUAGAGUAAAGAGUAUGAAAAAAAGGUGGGGUGUGUUUACACUUGGGAAAAAGACCAAGGCUUAACCAUGGUGUUUCCCGUUAUACUCUUAAACUAGAGUAAGUUUGAGGAAAGUGGAAUUCCUGGAGGAAAGGUUAAAUUUUAUGAUAUCAGGAGGAACGCCCAAAGCGUAGGCAACUUUCUACUGCUUUACUGACGUUGAGGUGCGAAAGCAUGGGGAUCAAAGGGGAUUAGAUACCCCCGUAGUCCAUGCCGUCAACUAUGAGAAUUCACUCUUAGAACAUUUUGUUUUGUAUAGAAACAAAGUUUGUUUUAGGGGUUCUAGCUAACGCGUUAAAUUCUCCGCCUGAGGAGUACGGCCGCAAGGUUAAAACUCAAAGGAAUAGACGGGGGCUCACACAAGUGGUGGAACAUGUGGUUUAAUUCGACACAACGCGCAAAACCUUACCAGCCCUUGACAUAAGGUUGAAUACACUCUUUACCGAGUGAUAAUAUAUGCACCUUACAGGCGUUGCAUGGCUGUCGUCAGCUCGUGUCGUGAGAUGUUUGGUUAAGUCCUUUAACGAGCGCAACCCUUUUGAAAUGUUGGUAGUAAAGAUUUUUUCUUUAACCACUCUUUUCAUACUGCCGGUUAUAUACUGGAGGAAGGGAAGGAUAACGUCAAGUCGUCAUGACCCUUAUGGGCUGGGCUACACACGUGUUACAAUGGUGGUCACAAAGGGAAGCAAUGAUGCGAAUCGGAGCGAAUCCUUAAAAACUACCAAAGUUCGGAUUGUUCUCUGCAAUUCGAGAACAUGAAGAUGGAAUCACUAGUAAUCGUGGAUCAGCACGCCACGGUGAAUCUGUACCUGAGCCUUGUACUCACCGCCCGUCACGCUCUGGAAGUCGAGUGGAUCGGAAGCAUUCUUUGCUUUAUUAUCAAAUAGAUUCUUAUUUUUUGCUUUCUUUUAAGGAUUUAAAGAAUCUAUUUGAUUUAUAGAGUGGGUUUACGAUGAUCUGUUUGGUAACUGGAGCGAAGUCGUAACAAGGUAACCGUAGGGGAACCUGCGGUUGGAUUGACUCU